ACACUCCUGCGGGAGGCAGCAGUGGGGAAUUUUGGACAAUGGGCGAAAGCCUGAUCCAGCAAUGCCGCGUGAGUGAAGAAGGCCUUCGGGUUGUAAAGCUCUUUUGUCAGGGAAGAAACGGUGAGAGCUAAUAUCUCUUGCUAAUGACGGUACCUGAAGAAUAAGCACCGGCUAACUACGUGCCAGCAGCCGCGGUAAUACGUAGGGUGCAAGCGUUAAUCGGAAUUACUGGGCGUAAAGCGUGCGCAGGCGGUUUUGUAAGUCUGAUGUGAAAUCCCCGGGCUCAACCUGGGAAUUGCAUUGGAGACUGCAAGGCUAGAAUCUGGCAGAGGGGGGUAGAAUUCCACGUGUAGCAGUGAAAUGCGUAGAUAUGUGGAGGAACACCGAUGGCGAAGGCAGCCCCCUGGGUCAAGAUUGACGCUCAUGCACGAAAGCGUGGGGAGCAAACAGGAUUAGAAACCCUGGUAGUCCC
rnacentral:rRNA from 1 species